CAGAACACACAUCUUCACAUGUGCAGUUAUUCUCACACUGUGAGUUGAACAAACAAUGACAUAUCUUUACAUUCUUUUUUUUCUUGUAUACUGUAAGUCUAGACAACACCUUACAGCACACCAGAGCUGCAGAGAGCUCUGCUCAAAUGACUCAAUCUCACUGUGAGUUUUUCAAGAAUUCAAACCUUCCUUAACAAACACAAUCAAUGCCCUGAGUAAAAAUCAACUUGACUUUCUCCCAAACCAGCUUACCACAUAUCAUAUUUACACCCACACACCCUAAUCAGUAAACAUGUAAAAGACACAAAAAAAUGAAAAAUAUUUGCUUGCUUUCAAUAUUCUAAAUGAUGAAUCAUUCUAUUUGCCACACAUGUUACGUGACAAACAUUUUAGAAAGUGGUGUCUGAUGUGAUUAAAUUAAUAUAUUCAAGUAUAUUCAAGUAAAAAUGGGCAACAACAGAGACGUGGAGUGAGUCCAACACUCUUCGUCAUCUACAUUCUUCGUCAUCUAAACUCUUCGUCAUCAACACUCUUCGUCAUCUACACUCUUCGUCAUCUAAACUCUUCGUCAUCAACACUCUUCGUCAUCUAAACUCUUCGUCAUCAACACUCUUCGUAAUCUACACUCUUCGUCAUCUACACUCUUCGUCAUCUACACAUUAAUGAGUUAGUGGUGCAGCUGGACCAAUCUACAGCUCCUGGACUUACCCUUCAAGACAUCAGGAAGUUUCAGCAAGGCAGUCAAUGCGCACAAAGAAAAGCAGUAGAGCACUGUAUGCUAGAAAAUCGAUUUUUUUUACUAUAUAAACAUACCAAUCACUAUCUGGUCCAAAUUAAUUGGCAGCAUAAUACAGCCUAUUGCAUUAUAUGGAUCGGCAUCAAGGCUGGGGAGACCAACAGACUUAACAAGCUGGUGAGGAAGGCUUUGUUGGACUGAAACGGGACAGUGUGGAGGCAGUGGUGGAGAGGAUGAUGGUGGUACAAAAUCCAGAUCACACAGGGCAACCUCUUCCAUCUCCUCUAUGAUGAGCUGAGGCAGAUGAGGAGCACCUUUCACCACGGCCUCAUCUCCCCCAUGUGCAAGACCAGGCCAUUCAGGCACUCCUUUGUGCCGACAGCCAUCUGGCUGCACCACCGCACCUGAGACUCUUUUUGCACCUCCCCAGGACACUCUACAACUGCAAUUAUAUACACUUUGGACACUUCAAUCUCUUUAAAUACAUGAACCUGUGAUAAUUUGUUUAUUUGCUCUUUAUCAUGGCAUUUUGCACUACAUGUAUAUUUGGACACUGCAAAUACAUGAGCCUGUUUAGUGCACACUAUCAUUCCUUGUUGUAGCUGAUUUGUUUUUUAUUGUACUUUUUUAUUUAUUCAUAUUUACAUAUAUUUCUUCAUCUGUCUUUCUGCUGCUGAUUAUCACACAAAGUCUUAUCUCAUCUAACAACAGAUUUCUGGUGGUUUCCUGGUGAAAGGAUUUUGCCAGGGGUCCAGUUAAUGGGAGUGUGGCCUGAUAAGAGGCUGGUGCCUUGCCUAUUUAAACAAACACAACACUUCCUCUAGCUGACACUUUUCACAAUGCAGGGACAGACAUUCUUCUGACUCAUUGGUAUGUGGCCUGUACAAGACCAGUUCUUGGGAAGUGCUCUGGGUUGCCAUUCUACUUGUAGCAAAAUUAGGCCUACAUCACGGUGUUGCUAAAUUAUUGGCCUAUUUGUUUUUGUUAGUUUGUUUUUUGAAAGAUGUGAUGUAAAUAGAAGAAGUAAAAUUACACACUUUUCCCCCAGCAUUCAUUGUCCUGUGCCAGAAUGGCCCAAGAGAUCCACAGCCUGUGUAGGCGAUACAGCACAUCUCUCCUGUGAAUUGGGUUUCAUCAAGGUGGAAUCAGCCAGCUAUGGACGGAGUGAAACAUCCACCUGCAGUGGACACCCAUCAAAUCAGAUUUCAAACACCCAAUACCACCAGUACCUGUCUCAACACAUCAUGUCUGACAGGUAGCACAACCUGAAAAUAAUGCACAUACCUGGAAUUUUAUACACACUAAUGCAGGUUAAGGGGAGAGGAGAGGAGAGGAGGUCAGUGAUGUGGAAAAUCAUAGAUACUCAAAGAAUCAUAUAGCAAGAGGUGAAAACAAAAUGUACAAUCCUAACAGGAAGAAAAUAUACGCUAAACAUAACAUUAAUGACACAAAAUAGCCACACCACAUUUUAAAGAAGGGGGCAUACAUCUAUUUGUAUAGCUUAGAGAGGAAUGGGCACUGAUCAAAUGAAUCAGUCAGACAAGCACCAGCACUCUCAGUAUCUAGCCUUGCCUGGGCUUAAACAUAUAUAUCUAUGAAUCAACACAAAUGUCAAAGUCAAAAAUCAGAUGAGUGGCAUGGGGUGACCAUUAAUGGUGUGUGUGUUUUAACAUCAUGUCAUAUUCUUCAGGUGACCCCC